rnacentral:rRNA from 1 species
GACGAACGCUGGCGGCGUGCUUAACACAUGCAAGUCGAACGCUGAAGCUCAGCUUUUGUUGGGUGGAUGAGUGGCGAACGGGUGAGUAACACGUGAGUAACCUGCCCCCUUCUUUGGGAUAACGCCCGGAAACGGGUGCUAAUACUGGAUAUUCACUGGUCUUCGCAUGGGGGUUGGUGGAAAGGGUUUUUCUGGUGGGGGAUGGGCUCGCGGCCUAUCUGCUUGGUGGUGGGGUGAUGGCCUACCAAGGCUUUGACGGGUAGCCGGCCUGAGAGGGUGACCGGUCACAUUGGGACUGAGAUACAGCCCAGACUACGACGGGGGGCAGCAGUGGGGAAAAUUGCACAAAGGGUGCAACCAUGAUGCAGCGACGCCGCGUGAGGGAUGGAGGCCUUCGGGUUGUGAACCUCUGUCGCUAAUGGUCAAGCCGAAACAAUGGUUGUGGUGAGGGUAGUGGGUAAAGAAGCGCCGGCUAACUACGUG